AAUUAAGAAGGGCAUUUAACUAAAUUGUGCGCCUGACAUAUGUCGAAGCACUAAAACAGGAGAAA
rnacentral:ncRNA from 2 species